UGGAAAAGUAAGUCAUUAAAUUAUAUAUAGGAAUAAAUAACAUAAUGUGAGAAUAACUGUGAAACAAUGUGUUUUAGCUCUGUUGACCAGCUAGAGACGCACGAACGAGAUCAUGGAGCCACAGAAGUAGGAAGAGGGGCUUAUGGUGCAAUACAUUGUUCUGCCUGUAGAUGGUGCCAUCUAAGAAAAAAUUCCAAAUUUGUUAAUGAAUAAAAAAUUUUAUGAAGUUAAAGCUGUUAUAACGAAUCUGCAAACGAGCUAGGAUGAAAUGAGAUAGUGCUAAACAUCAACGUCUUUUGUUGUCCGUGACUUCAAAUGGUGUUUGUUUUUUCUUUAGUUUGUCCUAAAGUUUCUCUUUCUCUGAUAUUAUUUAGCGGAGAACCUCUCACAACAAUGUUCUGCUGCAAAAUACGUGAGUGUGUAAUGAAAGGAGGACCCAGGAAAGUGUGGUGGUUCAGCGAGACCAACAACCGGAUGGUCCAAUGGUUGCUUUUGCUUUAGGUAAAUUGGUAGCAAAAUGGGAUAGGGUGAGAAACUCGCCCAUCUGGGAGGGGCUGGGAGUAGAUCACUGCUCCUCCACAUCGAGAGAAGCCAGUUAAGAUCGGCGAAGCCUCCGGGAUGUCCCUCAUGCACCAGGAGGAAGCUCUGUUGACGUGCGAGUCAGACGAGCCUGCUGGGCCCAUUAUCGUCCAUCGCUGACGGACACAUUGAAGAGCUCGCUGGAUAGACGCAGGUUCUGGAGGGGGAGCGUCAUGAGGCCCCCUGCAGCGGCAGCAGCCACCAGGCUCUGGAUGUUGGCUGUGGGCAGGGAGAGCACCAGGCCCUGCUGCCCGCCCAGAUGUCCGCCUGCGUUGAAGGGGAUGAGGAUGGGUUGGUUCAUGCCUGGCGCCGCCCCUGACAUCACGCCGCCCACUGCAUUAGCCAGCUGCUGGGCCACCAAGAGAGACUGCACACAAAGACACACACAUCAUCACAGCUACGUUCACAGACAGCUUUGGAGGAGCAGCUGCUGAGAGAAAGCUGGUGAAGAUCUCUGAUGUUUAGUCUCUGUCACGAUGAGUGGCAGCAGUACUUGGCAGACCUGACAGCUCCGUGUUGAGAAGUGGUCUCCUAGGGGCCACGCGGAUCCACAGACUGGGUUAGUGUUGAGCUCUGGAAGAGGAAGCUGACCCACUCUGGACUGGAUGCCGUACCCUGCUGCUCCGCUCAUCAGGGGAGAAUGGGCCCUUCUAUCUGCUUGGCAGCUCUGGCACUGAGAAAUUGCCCAUAAUCACACAGAUAGCAGACUUUUGUCAUCCUAACUGCAAUUGGGGAAACAGAAAGAAGGUAGAUUCAUGUUGGGUAAACUACCAUCAGAUAAUGGUUGUUCGAACAAUAUCCGGCUCUGGGGCGAGAAUCUAUCAAAACAUAUUGAUCCUGGAACAAGAGAAUUGGGUACGGCAUGCAGGGUGCUUUUGUUUCUGAAAAGUGUUAGCUUCACAGAGACUGUACUGACAGCAUUAAUACAUUAGAUGGUGACUGUUGAGAGCCGCCUGCUGAGGCUCAGACUGGAACCGCUGCUUGCUUCAGCUGCUUUUCCUCUUGAGGUUUUUUGUUAUCUAUUAUCAGCAGCAUCUUUGACCAGGUCUGUGGAACCAGAAAAGAGCUUUAAGCAUUUUCCAACACUUAACAGAAGAUUUGCUCUUUGAAUUGGGAUUUCUCACCCUUCCAACCUGCUUGGCUAAGCUCAACAGCCCUCCCGUUGCCUUGUGUUCUCCCUCUUUAAGCCUGUUUACACUAUUUGAACACCUGGGCAAUUUUACCAGACUUUCCAAGCAGGUGUCUCCAUUUCACUGGGCUGGCACGAAAGGAAAGAUUUCAAGGACCAGCCAAGUACCUGAACUGGGAUAUGUACUCGGAAAUGUCCCAGUAGUGACGCUAGGCGGGACUUGUGGUUUAAGUCAUGCUAAGGCUAGGCGACAUGGACCAAAAUUUAUAUCUCAAUAUCUUUUAGCUGAAUUUUGAUAUACAAUGUGUAUCUCUAUAUUUUUCCUCCUGUAAAAUAUUUACAAGUUAACUCCCUUCAAGCUGUCUUGAAAAGCUGAAAACAUAAACUGAUCAGCAGCUCUCCGAACCCAUCUCUCGAUUACACAAGAGAGGAGUUUGACCCGUCUCUCCACACAAGCCGGAUAAAAAAAUCUCCUCAGCAGCCAUGGUGAAAAGGCUAAAACAUGAGCGGACGUCCCCAAAUAAUUAAACACCAGAAAGCCAAAUGCAAUGAUCAGGGCAGAACAUUGACCUAGGCACGUGAAGACACAUGUAAUGACGGAGCAAACUAACGGUAGCUGCACCUGCUAACUCUAGAAAUACACUGGUUGUGUAUUUAUUUCGAUAUAAACAAUACUGAGUCACCUUGUUUGAUUUUGUAUCCAUAUUUUUAAAAAUAUUGAUAUAUCGCCCAGCCCGAGGUCAUGAAGACUGGUUGUAAUAGGACAUGUUGGAAGACGUUGCCAAACAACUGGAAUUUGUUAAAUUGGAAGAGUGACCGGCAAAGCAGAAUGGAAGCAGUAGCUCAGGUGGUAGAGCAGGUUGCCUCAUGAUCGGAGGGUCAUGGGUUCGAUUCCAGCUCCCGCCAGGGGUAUCCUGCUGUUGUGUCCUUGGGCAAGACACUUCACCCAACUUGCCUGUGUUAGUGGUGGUCAGAGGGGCCGACGGCGCCAAAUGGCAGCCUCGCCUCUGUCAGACCUCCCCAGGGCGGCUGUGGCUACAAGUAGCUUACCAUUACUAGCAGUGUGUGAAUGUGAGAGUGUGUGAAAGCGUCUUUGGGUGUCUAGAAAAGCGCUAUAUAAGUUCAA